rnacentral:rRNA from 1 species
AUGGAGAGUUUGAUCCUGGCUCAGGAUGAACGCUAGCGGCAGGCCUAAUACAUGCAAGUCGAGGGGCAGCACGGUUUUCGGACUGGUGGCGACCGGCGCACGGGUGCGUAACGCGUAUGCAAUCUACCUUAUACUGGAGGAUAGCCCGAGGAAACUCGGAUUAAUAUUCCAUGGC